UACGUAGGGGGCAAGCGUUGUCCGGAAUCAUUGGGCGUAAAGAGCGUGUAGGCGGCUCGAUAAGUCCGCUGUGAAAGUCCAGGGCUCAACCCUUGAAUGCCGGUGGAUACUGCAGGGCUAGAGUCCGGAAGAGGCGAGUGGAAUUCCUGGUGUAGCGGUGAAAUGCGCAGAUAUCGGGAGGAACACCAAUGGCGAAGGCAGCUCGCUGGGACGUUACUGACGCUGAGACGCGAAAAGCGUGGGAGGCA
rnacentral:rRNA from 1 species